CCUACGGGAGGCAGCAGUGGGGAAUAUUGCACAAUGGGGGAAACCCUGAUGCAGCGACGCCGCGUGAGUGAAGAAGUAAUUCGUUAUGUAAAGCUCUAUCAGCAGGGAAGAAAAUGACGUUACCUGAGUAAGAAUGCCCGGCUAACUACGUGCCAGCAGCCGCGGUAAUACGUAGGGGGCAAGCGUUAUCCGGAUUUACUGGGUGGAAAGGGAGCGUAGACGGCAGUGCAAGUCUGGAGUGAAAGGCGGGGGCUCAACCCCCGGACUGCUCUGGAAACUGUACGGCUGGAGUGCAGGAGAGGUAAGUGGAAUUCCUAGUGUAGCGGUGAAAUGCGUAGAUAUUAGGAGGAACACCAGUGGCGAAGGCGGCUUACUGGACUGUAACUGACGUUGAGGCUCGAAAGCGUGGGGAGCAAACAGGAUUAGAUACCCUUGUAGUC
rnacentral:rRNA from 1 species